ACCGUCGUGAGACAGGUUAGUUUUACCCUACUGUUGACUAAUUGUUGCGAUAGUAAUCCUGCUUAGUACGAGAGGAACAGCAGGUUCAGACAUUUGGUUCAUGGACUUGACCGAUCGGUCAAUGGUCCGAAGCUAACAUCUGGGGGAUUAUGACUGAACGCCUCUAAGUCAGAAUCCCACCUAGUCAAGGCAGCGAUAACUUUGUUUCCCGGUGUCGGGAGGCAACUCUAUCUCGUGGCAACAUGAGAGCUUAUGCCCUAAUAAAUGACCUUGCCGGUAUGGAUAAUCCCUGCUGGUUGUCAAAGCCAGAUCACUCUGGUUCAAUGUCGGGGCGCAAAAUCACAUGUUUACGACAUGUAUACUGGUCAAGGUGUUGUAUCCAGUAGAGCAGUGUUUGUAUACUGCGAUCUGUUGAGACUAUCCUCUGAUCGGGUGUUUUG
rnacentral:rRNA from 2 species